UACGUAGGGUGCGAGCGUUAAUCGGAAUUACUGGGCGUAAAGCGUGCGUAAGCGGUUCGUUAAGUCAGUUGUGAAAGCCCCGGGCUCAACCUGGGAAUUGCGGUUGAAACUGGCGAACUAGAAUCUGGCAGAGGGGGGUGGAAUUCCACGUGUAGCAGUGAAAUGCGUAGAGAUGUGGAGGAACACCGAUGGCGAAGGCAGCCCCCUGGGCUGAGAUUGACGCUCAGGCACGAAAGCGUGGGGAGCAAACAGG
rnacentral:rRNA from 1 species